rnacentral:rRNA from 1 species
CCUACGGGUGGCAGCAGUGAGGAAUAUUGGUCAAUGGACGAGAGUCUGAACCAGCCAAGUAGCGUGAAGGAUGACUGCCCUAUGGGUUGUAAACUUCUUUUAUAUGGGAAUAAAAUGUUCCACGUGUGGGAUUUUGUAUGUACCAUAUGAAUAAGGAUCGGCUAACUCCGUGCCAGCAGCCGCGGUAAUACGGAGGAUCCGAGCGUUAUCCGGAUUUAUUGGGUUUAAAGGGAGCGUAGGUGGAUUGUUAAGUCAGUUGUGAAAGUUUGCGGCUCAACCGUAAAAUUGCAAUUGAAACUGGCAGUCUUGAGUACAGUAGAGGUGGGCGGAAUUCGUGGUGUAGCGGUGAAAUGCUUAGAUAUCACGAAGAACUCCGAUUGCGAAGGCAGUUCACUGGACUGCAACUGACACUGAGGCUCGAAAGUGUGGGUAUCAAACAGGAUUAGAUACCCUUGUAGUC